AUUGAACGCUGGCGGCAUGCUUUACACAUGCAAGUCGAACGGUAACAGGCCGCAAGGUGCUGACGAGUGGCGAACGGGUGAGUAAUGCGUCGGAACGUGCCCAGUCGUGGGGGAUAACGCAGCGAAAGCUGCGCUAAUACCGCAUACGAUCUAUGGAUGAAAGCGGGGGACCGAAAGGCCUCGCGCGAUUGGAGCGGCCGAUGUCAGAUUAGGUAGUUGGUGGGGUAAAGGCCUACCAAGCCAACGAUCUGUAGCUGGUCUGAGAGGACGACCAGCCACACUGGAACUGAGAAACGGUCCAGACUCCUACGGGAGGCAGCAGUGGUGAAUUUUGGACAGUGGGCGCAAGCCUGAUCCAGCAAUGCCGCGUGCAGGAUGAAGGCCUUCGGGUUGUAAACUGCUUUUGUACGGAACGAAACGGCCCUUUCUAAUACAAGGGGCUAAUGACGGUACCGUAAGAAUAAGCACCGGCUAACUACGUGCCAGCCGCCGCGGUAACAC
rnacentral:rRNA from 1 species